CUUCAGCAUCAUGUAGAAUCACCUUGCCAGCUCUUUGCAUCUCGGAUCCGUACAACAUUUUCAGUAGGAAUUAGGUUCCAUAUAUAAAACUGUAUUAUCGAUUCAUUGUACAGAGCGGGGCAACACGAAAACGAGCACACGGUAAUUGAUUAAGAUCAACUUCUUAAUACAAUCUCUCCCCGGUAGCCAUGCAUAUAUAUAUAUAUAUAUACACAUAGCUAAGUAGUGGCGCAGCAUCUCGAUCAUGGCGUGAUGGCGAGAAUACGUGCUUAUCUUGCUUAAUCAGUAGUGUUGUAUAUAUAUCUCGUCGUCGUCGGAGUAUAGCCGACGAUCGCUUAUUUAAAUAUUUAGUAGCUGUAGUUCUUGACGAACAUCCCCUCCUUGGCCUCGGCGGUCUCGCCGUCGGAGGUGUACUUGCCGAGCUGCGCCAGGGAGUUGGCCUUGGCGCGCAGCAGCAGCGCGUCCUGCGCCGCCUUCACGUUCUCCGGCGCGCCGCCCCACGUCUUGAGGCAGGUGUUCUGCAGCGCCCGCGCGUAGGAGAAGGACACGUGCCACGGGUUGGGCCCCUGGUUCAUGGCGUUCAGGUUCUGCGUCGCCUCCACCUCCGACUGCCCGCCAGACAGGAACAUGAUGCCGGGCACCGACGGCGGGAUCCGGCGGUGGAGGAGCUUCAGGGUGUACUCGGCCACCUGCUCGGGGGUGGCCUUGUCCUUGGACUCGGCGCCGGGGGUCACCAUGGACGGCUUCAGCAGGAUGCCCUCGAACAUCACGUUGUUCUCCGCCAUGGCGUAGAAGGUCUCGGCCCACACCUUCUGCGCAACCUCGAAGGUCCGCUCGAUGCCGUGCUCGCCGUCCAGAAGGAUCUCAGGCUCCACGAUCGGCACAAGCCCGUUGUCCUGCAUCCAUCCAUGUAUGGUUAUUGGUUGAUCCAUGCAGCAGCAGCCAUGGUGGCUGAUGAUCCAAGAAUGCUGCAAUACCUG
rnacentral:lncRNA from 1 species